rnacentral:rRNA from 1 species
AGAGUUUGAUCCUGGCUCAGAGUGAACGCUAGCGGUGUGCUUAACACAUGCAAGUCGAGCGAGGGCAGGUCUUCGGAUCUGACCCGAGCGGCGCACGGGUGCGUAACACGUGGGUAAUCUACCUUAGAGCGGGGGAUAACGCGCCGAAAGGCACGCUAAUACCGCAUAACAUCCCGUUAACGACGGUUAAUGGGAUCAAAGACGGGGAUCCGCAAGGACCUGUCCCUCUAAGAUGAGCCCGCGGCCCAUCAGCUUGUUGGCGGGGUAAUGGCCCACCAAGGCAACGACGGGUAGCCGGCCUGAGAGGGUGAUCGGCCACACUGGAACUGAGACACGGUCCAGACUCCUACGGGAGGCAGCAGUGGGGAAUAUUGCACAAUGGGCGAAAGCCUGAUGCAGCAACGCCGCGUGAGUGAUGAAGGCCUUCGGGUCGUAAAACUCUGUCCUCAAGGAAGAUAAUGACGGUACUUGAGGAGGAAGCCCCGGCUAACUACGUGCCAGCAGCCGCGGUAAUACGUAGGAGGCGAGCGUUAUCCGGAUUUACUGGGCGUAAAGAGGGUGCAGGCGGCUUGGCAAGUCGGAUGUGAAAUCUCCCGGCUCAACUGGGAGGGGUCAUUCGAUACUGCCAGGCUUGAGGGCAGCAGGGGGAGGUGGAAUUCCCGGUGGAGUGGUGAAAUGCGUAGAUAUCGGGAGGAACACCAGUGGCGAAAGCGGCCUCCUGGGCUGUUUCUGACGCUGAGGCCCGAAAGCGUGGGGAGCGAACAGGAUUAGAUACCCUGGUAGUC